AGCGAACGCUGGCGGCAGGCUUAACACAUGCAAGUCGAGCGGGCGUAGCAAUACGUCAGCGGCAGACGGGUGAGUAACGCGUGGGAACGUACCUUUUGGUUCGGAACAACCCAGGGAAACUUGGGCUAAUACCGGAUAAAGCCCUUACGGGGAAAGAUUUAUCGCCGAAAGAUCGGCCCGCGUCUGAUUAGCUAGUUGGUGAGGUAACGGCUCACCAAGGCGACGAUCAGUAGCUGGUCUGAGAGGAUGAUCAGCCACAUUGGGACUGAGACACGGCCCAAACUCCUACGGGAGGCAGCAGUGGGGAAUAUUGGACAAUGGGCGCAAGCCUGAUCCAGCCAUGCCGCGUGAGUGAUGAAGGCCCUAGGGUUGUAAAGCUCUUUUGUGCGGGAAGAUAAUGACGGUACCGCAAGAAUAAGCCCCGGCUAACUUCGUGCCAGCCGCCGCCGAAC
rnacentral:rRNA from 1 species